UUUCGGACCCCACACAGUUUCCAAACCUUUGAAAAUAUUUCAGACUUGAUUUGUUAACUGCGAUCAGCCUCGCUGCACUCGCAAGCCCCCAGCUAGUGGACCAGUUUGGGGAACAGCGGCACCGCAAGCGCAGCUACAUAUGACUUAACUUUCGUCUCAAACGACGUCUAAAAGUCCAGCGCUAGACUGAACAUGACCCACGACGUGUAGCUUCUGAUCUGCCUUCCGCUUACUGAAGACUCAACAUACCUCCGUGCAGGUGGUGUAGCACUAUUGUGUCUAUUAAAAUUAUUUACGUUAAGCCCCCCCCCCCAUUUUCUAGUGUCACAACCCGAUAUACUGUUGCAUUUGAAAAUGUUUUUCCCCUUCACACAAUCGAUUUUAUAGGAAUAUCAAGUGGUGAAACAAUUGUUAAUGAACAAGUGAAAGGUAAGUAUUCCAGAAAAGGUGAGAUAUGCAUCCACUGCAUCUCAGUGCCUCAGUAUCUUUAGCAUAUUUAUUCUUUAUCCUUAAUCCAUAAAAGUGAAUGGAGAACAGCAGUGGACUGAGGUCUUUGAGUCUUGCUGCAGAUUCAAGCCAAGAUUCAAACUGGGGCUUUCUAGAAUGCUCCUUUUCUUCCUUGAAAGUUGAAAGUAGGGUAAGACCCCCUGCAGACAGACAAAUCCGGGUCCCGGUCAGAGUUAUUCUGCAUGCUGGAGGAGGCCGGAAUGCAUCUCGGCUGCGGCUGGUGAGAAGCACGCCGCUGCCAUCUUGUUGACACCAUCUUGGUUCAUGGGAUAGGUUCCAUCUUCUGGUUGAUGAGUCAUGCUGGGUUUCUGCCAUGUGAAAUGUCUGCAUCUCACUGAACUGCAUCGUUGGGGUGUUUAACCUUCUCAUAUAUAUUUACAAGCUUUUUUGCUGAAAAAGAGAUGCUUCCUUUCCAACCUCUUAUGAAGUCCAAGACUUUGGAGUAUCUUUGUAGUAUCUGUUGGAGUAUCUUUGGAGUAUCUGUUGGAGUAUUUUUGGAGUGACUGUUGACCCGUUUCUCAUUUUCUCCACGAAACUGCAUUUGCUUCUCAAAGUUUGUUUGUUGUCUAUGCAGCAAAUCUGUGUUUAUCCUACUUACCUGGGAGCUCGAUGACUCACUUUAAGUAAAUGUUUUUUGCAGUGUCACAAAUUUUCAUUAACAUUUUUGAGGUGGAACAGUGGCUCAGUGACCUGUUAGAUCACAUCUUACUGGUUUGGGGUUUGGAUCCUAAUUUUGAUCUACGUUUGUGGAGUUUUCUUAUUGGGCCUCGUCCGAUUAUUCCAGCCUUCUCCCGCAGUCCAAAGUCAUCUCAUUAGCAUAAUCGGUGUCUAUGAGUUGUCCAUAGUGUAUGAGGGUGUGUAUGUGCCCUGUCUCGAGGGACUGGCAUUCCAUCCAGCGACCACCCCAGCCUGUGCCCUGGGGUAUGCUGUUUGGGAUAGGCUCCAUGCAGUAAGAAGACGCAUGGAGUUUUUUUUCUUUUUAUCUCGACUGCCACACUAAUGCUGCGUUUCAUUUACCUCGGUGGUUGGACCUCGUAACUGGGAAUGACGUCACCCAUGAGUUAACAGCGUUCCAGUGCAGCAAGUCGGAAAGCCAUUUAGCAGUACUAGGGACCCACUGCAAACAGCAAGACUUCUUGCUUAGCUGGAUACCUAAUCGGAUUAAUUUACCCCAGUUUAAAUGGCCUUUAUCUUCCUUCACUUACAUUUAGCCCAGACUUCCUUAAAUCCGACAGGUUAUCCAACUAAGCAAGAAAUCCUGCUUAAUGAAACAGGCCCCAGUUCUAGGCUGGUUAAUUGUUAGCCAUAUCAGUUGAUAGCAACACAUCUCAUGCUAUUUUACACAUAAAAACACUGUAGGAACACAUCCACAGAUAGCGUUUGGACAGUACUGUGUGUACAACAUAUUUAAUCAACCACAAAGAUGUAAGUGCUAAUUAAACAGUAUAAAACUACAGCUUUAACUUCUGCUGAUAAAGGGUGCAGCCAUGUUGAAGUCUGAGCUUGGGGUUGUGUCGAUGACUCCGAGUUCACGAGUUGGAAUUCUGACUUCAGGGGGCGUUGCAGUUGAAGUUUCCGAUUAGGAACACGGAAUUUCCGAGUUACGAGUUCGAAUGGAACGCAGCAUCAAUAUAUUACCCAACAUGACAUCACACCAAGACAGCAUGUAGACUGUAGACACAGGAGCACAUUGUCUCCAUCCACCUUCAAUUCAGAAAUAUUAAAAGAAGAUGAGCAGAUUACUUCAACAUACUAUUUGAAUUGUUUCACAAUAAAAAAGAUCCCUCUUCAUGAGAGUUUUAUUUAUGUGCCUAUAUAGCAGGGGUUGGUAAUCUAAUCCAGAAAGGGCUGUUGGGUGUGAGGAUUUUUGCUGCAGCUCCAUAAUUAGAUUACUAAUUAGAGGACUGAUUGGCUGAAGAGUCCUCACACAUGGGCUGUAACUGAUGUAGCUGACCUGAAGGUUACCUGCAUGCACACCGGCCCUUUGUGGACAAGAUUACCCACCCCCACUAUAUAGAGUCUGUUCUGCAGGGUAUGUAAAUGAAUCAAUGUCUGCAUGUGAUUGAAAUACGUCUCCUUCGCAAAAGCACCAGGUCAUGGUUACUGAUGCAACUUCUAUGAAAUAUUUAAAUGAAUUUAGCAAAAAUCAAACAGAAUUCAUCAAGAUAAGAGUAUCGGUUCAGGAAAUAAAGUUUACACAUGAAUAUAAAAAUACAUAGGCUAUGCUCUUUCCUUAUUUGAGCAAUACAUAUAAAUCCCCAAUUGGCAUUAGUUUAGCCUCUUAGGAAUGAGAAUGCAGCAUUUCACAUAAGCUUCCCUCUUCUACAUGUUUGUGUAUAUUUGCUUGUUUCAUUCCUCUUCCUUGCAGUGCUGUCUCCAGUGGACACACUUCCUGCUGGGUGUGUCACCUCCCUAGCUCACAGUGCUGAUGCAACAGCCGCGUAAUGUAACAGCGUCUCAGGGCCUCCUGUCUUUAAUCCAGGGCCAGGCGCCGGGCCGCAUCCCGAUCGUAUCUGUGCCGCGUCGUCCCCAUCGCGCCAGAGGCUGACCCAUCACCCACCCUGGUAGCCCUAAAGAGGCCACGGGGACAGUGGACUGCCGGACUGGAACACGUGUUCUGCGUGUUUCUUCUUGGGCUUCCUUCUGCAACUCCAGUGAAUCUCAUCACGAUAAUGACAUUUAAAAAAAAAAAAAAGUUUGUUCCGCAGUGAGGUUGAUCGGCACCGAAAAACAGAGCCAGGCCCCAUAACUGCUUUUGGUAAAACAAGGCACUGAUACUCACUGCUGUCACGCAACCUCACAUGCAGCCAAGUUGUGUAAUUGCGGUAUCGCGUGCAGCUGAGAUCGUCCUUCACACCAUCAAAUCUCAGUAACCAAAGGCACGGGACGAUCUGGCUUAGCUCUUAAGCGUUACUGGUUUUCACUUUUGAGAGAAUAAUGCCUUAAUAACGAGUUGCAAUAUAUAUAAAACAGGUUUUCUGUGCACUUUUGCGUGUUUAAUAUGUAUAGAGAGAUUAACAUCACAGCUAUAUAAAUAUGAUUUAAAACCAGA